rnacentral:rRNA from 1 species
UACGUAGGGAGCAAGCGUUGUCCGGAAUCAUUGGGCGUAAAGCGCGCGUAGGUGGCUUCGUAAGUCCGUUGUGAAAGUCAAAGGCUCAACCUUUGAAAGCCGAUGGAUACUGCGGAGCUAGAGUACGGAAGAGGCGAGUGGAAUUCCUGGUGUAGCGGUGGAAUGCGCAGAUAUCAGGAGGAACACCAAUAGCGAAGGCAGCACUCUGGGACGUGACUGACGCUGAGGAGCGAAAGCGUGGGGAGCGAACAGG